rnacentral:rRNA from 1 species
UACGUAGGGUGCGAGCGUUAAUCGGAAUUACUGGGCGUAAAGCGUGCGCAGGCGGCUUUGCAAGACAGUUGUGAAAUCCCCGGGCUCAACCUGGGAACUGCAUCUGUGACUGUAUAGCUAGAGUACGGUAGAGGGGGAUGGAAUUCCGCGUGUAGCAGUGAAAUGCGUAGAUAUGCGGAGGAACACCGAUGGCGAAGGCAAUCCCCUGGACCUGUACUGACGCUCAUGCACGAAAGCGUGGGGAGCAAACAGG